CAAUAGCGUAUAUUUAAGUUGUUGCAGUUAAAAAGCUCGUAGUUGGAUUUUGGGUCGGGGGCACCGGUCCGCCGUUCCGGUGUGCACUGGUGGCCCCUUCCUUUCUGCCGGGGACGUGCGUCGCACUUAAUUGGGUGGCGUUCGGAGUCGGCGUUGUUACUUUGAAAAAAUUAGAGUGUUCAAAGCAAGCCAUCGCUCUGAAUACAUUAGCAUGGAAUAACAUGAUAGGACUCCGGUCUUAUUUUGUUGGUUUCCGAGACUGGAGUAAUGAUUAAGAGGGACGGUCGGGGGCAUCCGUAUUUCAUUGUCAGAGGUGAAAUUCUUGGAUUUAUGAAAGACGAACUUCUGCGAAAGCAUUUGCCAAGGAUGUUUUCAUUA
rnacentral:rRNA from 1 species